UCUACGAUUUCCGAAUGGGGAAACCCACUGGCAUAAGCCAGUAUCAUUGAGUGAAUACAUAGCUCAAUGAAGCGAACCGGGAGAACUGAAACAUCUAAGUACCCCGAGGAAAAGAAAUCAACCGAGAUUCCGAAAGUAGCGGCGAGCGAAAUUGGAUUAGCCCUUAAGCUUUACAUGUGUUAGACGAACGGUCUGGAAAGUCCGACGAUACAGGGUGAUAGUCCCGUAGUUGACGAUGCAUGUUCAGUGAAAUCGAGUAGGGCGGGACACGUGUUAUCCUGUCUGAAUAUGGGGGGACCAUCCUCCAAGGCUAAAUACUCCUGACUGACCGAUAGUGAACCAGUACCGUGAGGGAAAGGCGAAAAGAACCCCUGUGAGGGGAGUGAAAUAGAACCUGAAACCGUGUACGUACAAGCAGUAGGAGCACCUUCGUGGUGUGACUGCGUACCUUUUGUAUAAUGGGUCAGCGACUUAUAUUCAGUGGCAAGGUUAACCAUCUAGGGGAGCCGUAGGGAAACCGAGUCUUAACUGGGCGCCAUAGUCUCUGGAUAUAGACCCGAAACCGAGUGAUCUAGCCAUGGGCAGGUUGAAGGUUGAGUAACAUCAACUGGAGGACCGAACCGACUAAUGUUGAAAAAUUAGCGGAUGACUUGUGGCUAGGGGUGAAAGGCCAAUCAAACUCGGAGAUAGCUGGUUCUCCCCGAAAGCUAUUUAGGUAGCGCCUCGGACGAAUACUACUGGGGGUAGAGCACUGUUAAGGCUAGGGGGUCAUCCCGACUUACCAACCCUUUGCAAACUCCGAAUACCAGUAAGUACUAUCCGGGAGACACACGGCGGGUGCUAACGUCCGUCGUGGAGAGGGAAACAACCCAGACCGCCAGCUAAGGUCCCAAAUUACAGCUAAGUGGGAAACGAUGUGGGAAGGCUUAGACAGCUAGGAUGUUGGCUUAGAAGCAGCCAUCAUUUAAAGAAAGCGUAAUAGCUCACUAGUCGAGUCGGCCUGCGCGGAAGAUGUAACGGGGCUAAGUU
rnacentral:rRNA from 1 species